rnacentral:rRNA from 1 species
AUUGAACGCUGGCGGCAGGCCUAACACAUGCAAGUCGAACGAGUGGCGGACGGGUGGGUGAGGUCUGGGAAACUGCCUGAUGGAGGGGGAUAACUACGGGAAACGGUGGCUAAAGGCGCUUACCAUCGGAUGUGCCGAAGUUGGAUUAGCUAGUAGGUGGGGUAAAGGCUCACCUAGGCGACGAUCCCUAGCUGGUCUGAGAGGGUGACCGGCCACACUGGAACUGAGACACGGCCCAGACUCCUACGGGAGGCAGCAGUGGGGAAUAUUGCGCAAUGGACGCAAGCCUGAUGCAGCCAUGCCGCGUGUAUGAAGAAGGCUUUCGGGUUGUAAAGUACUUUCAUCGGGGAAGCGGUACCCACAGAAGAAGCAACGGCUAACUCCGUGCCAGCAGCCGCGGUAAUUC